GCUAGAGUAGUUCUGGGAUGGGUGACCUCCCGGGAAGUCCUAGUGUUGCACACU
rnacentral:rRNA from 1 species